GACGAACGCUGGCGGCGUGCCUAACACAUGCAAGUCGAACGAGAAUGUUUUCGGAAUAUUCUUAGUGGCGGACGGGUGAGUAACGCGUGAACAAUCUGCCCCGUACAAAGGGAUAGCCUCGGGAAACCGGGAUUAAAACCAUAUAACGCUUUAGUACCGCAUGGUAAUAAAGUCAAAUCGAUUAAGAGGUAUGGGAUGAGUUCGCGUCUGAUUAGCUAGUUGGUGGGUAAAGGCUCACCAAGCCAACGAUCUGUAGCUGGUCUGAGAGGACGACCAGCCACACUGGAACUGAGACACGGUCCAGACUCCUACGGGAGGCAGCAGUGGGGAAUUUUGGACAAUGGGCGCAAGCCUGAUCCAGCCAUUCCGCGUGCAGGAUGAAGGCCUUCGGGUUGUAAACUGCUUUUGUACGGAACGAAACGGUCUGCCCUAAUACGGCGGGCUAAUGACGGUACCGUAAGAAUAAGCACCGGCUAACUACGUG
rnacentral:rRNA from 1 species